rnacentral:rRNA from 1 species
UACGAAGGGUGCAAGCGUUAAUCGGAAUUACUGGGCGUAAAGCGCACGUAGGCGGUUAGUUAAGUUGGAUGUGAAAGCCCCGGGCUCAACCUGGGAAUUGCAUUCAAAACUGGCUAACUAGAGUAUGUGAGAGGGGGGUAGAAUUCCAAGUGUAGCGGUGAAAUGCGUAGAGAUUUGGAGGAAUGCCAGUGGCGAAGGCGGCCCCCUGGCACAAUACUGACGCUGAGGUGCGAAAGCGUGGGGAGCAAACAGG